rnacentral:rRNA from 1 species
AGCGGCGGACGGGUGAGUAAUGCUUAGGAAUCUGCCAUUUAGUGGGGACAACAUUCCGAAAGGGAUGCUAAUACCGCAUACGUCCUACGGGAGAAAGCAGGGGAUCUUCGGACCUUGCGCUAAAUGAUGAGCCUAAGUCGGAUUAGCUAGUUGGUGGGGUAAAGGCCUACCAAGGCGACGAUCUGUAGCGGGUCUGAGAGGAUGAUCCGCCACACUGGGACUGAGACACGGCCCAGACUCCUACGGGAGGCAGCAGUGGGGAAUAUUGGACAAUGGGCGGAAGCCUGAUCCAGCCAUGCCGCGUGUGUGAAGAAGGCCUUUUGGUUGUAAAGCACUUUAAGCGAGGAGGAGGCUACCUGGAUUAAUACUCUGGGAUAGUGGACGUUACUCGCAGAAUAAGCACCGGCUAACUCUGUGCCAGCAGCCGCGGUAAUACAGAGGGUGCGAGCGUUAAUCGGAUUUACUGGGCGUAAAGCGUGCGUAGGCGGCUGAUUAAGUCGGAUGUGAAAUCCCUGAGCUUAACUUAGGAAUUGCAUUCGAUACUGGUCAGCUAGAGUAUGGGAGAGGAUGGUAGAAUUCCAGGUGUAGCGGUGAAAUGCGUAGAGAUCUGGAGGAAUACCGAUGGCGAAGGCAGCCAUCUGGCCUAAUACUGACGCUGAGGUACGAAAGCAUGGGGAGCAAACAGGAUUAGAUACCCUGGUAGUCCAUGCCGUANACGAUGUCUACUAGC